UACGUAGGGGGCUAGCGUUGUCCGGAAUCAUUGGGCGUAAAGAGCGUGUAGGCGGUUUGUCGCGUCUGCUGUGAAAACUCGGGGCUUAACUCCGGGCCUGCAGUGGGUACGGGCAGACUAGAGUGCGGUAGGGGAGACUGGAAUUCCUGGUGUAGCGGUGAAAUGCGCAGAUAUCAGGAGGAACACCGGUGGCGAAGGCGGGUCUCUGGGCCGUAACUGACGCUGAGGAGCGAAAGCGUGGGGAGCGAACAGG
rnacentral:rRNA from 1 species